rnacentral:SRP_RNA from 1 species
GCCUGGUGUGGUAGAACACACCUGUAGUCUUGGUUGCUGGGAAAGCUGAGGCUGGUGGAUUGAAUGAAUUUGGGAAUUCUGAACUUCAGUAGGGAUAAAGCUGACUGUAUAGCCAAACUAAGUCAAGCAUCAAUAUAGUGAGCUCUGAGGAGUGGAAGGCCUCUAGGUUGCCUAAGGAGGGGGAAACCAAUUCAGGUUUGAAAAACAGAAGAGGUUAAAGCUUCCAUGCCGGUCAGUUUUGAGAUCACGCAUGUUCAUGACUGCUGCAUUUCCAGACUGGAAGUCCCAGUCUCAA